AUUGAACGCUGGCGGAAUGCUUUACACAUGUAAGUCGAACGGCAGCACGGACUUCGGUCUGGUGGCGAGUGGCGAACGGGUGAGUAACAUAUCGGAACGUAUCCAAUAAUGGGGGAUAACGAGUCGAAAGAUUCGCUAAUACCGCAUACGCCCUACGAGGGAAAGCUGGGGACCUUCGGGCCUGGCGUUAAUGGAGCGGCCGAUAUCUGAUUAGCUAGUUGGUGAGGUAAAGGCUCACCAAGGCGACGAUCAGUAGCUGGUCUGAGAGGACGACCAGCCACACUGGAACUGAGACACGGUCCAGACUCCUACGGGAGGCAGCAGUGGGGAAUUUUGGACAAUGGGCGCAAGCCUGAUCCAGCCAUUCCGCGUGAGUGAAGAAGGCCUUCGGGUUGUAAAGCUCUUUCGCAAGGGAAGAAAACUUAGCCACUAACAUUGGUUGAGGUUGACGGUACCUUGAUAAGAAGCACCGGCUAACUACGUGCCAGCAGCCGCAGUAA
rnacentral:rRNA from 1 species